rnacentral:rRNA from 1 species
UACGUAGGGUGCAAGCGUUAAUCGGAAUUACUGGGCGUAAAGCGUGCGCAGGCGGUUGUGCAAGACAGAUGUGAAAUCCCCGGGCUUAACCUGGGAACUGCAUUUGUGACUGCAUGGCUAGAGUUUGGCAGAGGGGGGUAGAAUUCCACGUGUAGCAGUGAAAUGCGUAGAUAUCAGGAGGAACACCGAUGGCGAAGGCAGCUUACUACAUGUUAAUUGACGCUGAGGCACGAAAGCGUGGGGAGCAAACAGG